AGACGGAGGGCGCAAGCGUUGGUCGGAAUCACUGGGCAUAAAGAGUACGUAGGCGGUCUGCUAAGUCAGAUGCGAAAGCCCUGGGCUUAACCCGGGAACUGCAUUUGAUACUGGCAGACUUGAGGACAGCAGGGGUGAGUGGAACUUCAGGUGGAACGGUGAAAUGUGUAGAUAUCAGAAGGAACACCGGUGGCGAAAGCGGCUCACUGGGCUGUCUCUGACGCUCAGGUACGAAAGCUAGGGUAGCGAACGGGAUUAGAAACCCUUGUAGUCC
rnacentral:rRNA from 1 species